rnacentral:rRNA from 1 species
CCCUUAGAUGUUCUGGGCCGCACGCGUGCUACAAUGAUGCAGGCAACGAGUGCCGCUCCUUAGCCGAAAGGCUUGGGGAAUCUUGAAAACUGCAUCGUGCUAGGGAUAGAUGAUUGCAAUCGUGCAUCUUGAACGAGGAAUGCCUUGUAAGCGUGAGUCAUCAACUCGCGCUGAAUACGUCCCUGCCCUUUGUACACACCGCCCGUCGCUCCUACCGAUUGGAUGGUCCGGUGAACUGGUCGGACUGCUGUUUGAAAUUGCGGGUGCAGUUGAUUCACGGGAAGUCUAGUAAACCUUAUCAUCUAGAGGAAGGAGAAGUCGUAACA